GCUGUAGCUCAGUGGUAGAGUGCUUGCCUAGCAUGUGUGAGGUACUGGGUUUGAUUCUCAGGACUGCA
rnacentral:tRNA from 1 species